GCCUUUUCCGCUACAAUGUGCUGUCCCUGGUGUACCUGCUCUUCCUGCUGCUCCUGCCCUGGUUCCCGGGGCCCUCCUCACGUUUUUCCACAGGUCACAGCAGCCGCAUCCUCAAGGCUCUGCUGGGGAUCAGCAUCCUCUUCCUCCUCGCCCACCUGGUUUUCCAGAUCUGCCUGUACACACUGCCCGUCCUGGACCAGCUGCUGGGGCCCAGCUGCAGCUCCUGGGAGGUCUUUGCUCGGCACAUUGGGGUCACCAGGCUGGACUUGAGUGACAUUCCCAACUCGGUGCGGCUGGUGGCACCCGACGUUGGCAUCCUGCUGGUCUCGUCCGUGUCCCUGUGCCUGUGCCGCCACCUCAGCCCUGGCCCUGCCGCCUCCAGAGGGAAUCCCGAGCCCCUGGAGUCCUCU